rnacentral:rRNA from 1 species
AUUACUCCUACGGGAGGCAGCAGUGGGGAAUAUUGCACAAUGGGCGCAAGCCUGAUGCAGCCAUGCCGCGUGUAUGAAGAAGGCCUUCGGGUUGUAAAGUACUUUCAGCGAGGAGGAAGGCAUUAAGGUUAAUAACCUUAGUGAUUGACGUUACUCGCAGAAGAAGCACCGGCUAACUCCGUGCCAGCAGCCGCGGUAAUAAU